GAUGAACGCUAGCGGCAGGCUUAAUACAUGCAAGUCGAAGGGGGUAGCAAUACAACCGGCGCACGGGUGAGUAACGCGUACACAACAUGCCAUAUACUGGGGUAUAGCUUCGGGAAACUGAAGGUAAUCCCCCAUAAUAUUGCGGGAAGGCAUCUUUCUGCAAUUAAAGUUUCGACGGUAUAUGAUUGGUGUGCGUUUGAUUAGCUAGUUGGUAGGGUAACGGCCUACCAAGGCGACGAUCAAUAGCUGGCGUGAGAGCGCGACCAGCCACACUGGAACUGAGACACGGUCCAGACUCCUACGGGAGGCAGCAGUAGGGAAUAUUGGACAAUGGGCGAAAGCCUGAUCCACGCCAUGCCGCGUGAUAGAUGAAGGCCCUCUGGGUUGUAAAUAUC
rnacentral:rRNA from 1 species